GAGGUCUGCGCGCCAUGUGGGACCCUCCUCUGGUGGCCGGGGAGCAGCCGGGGAUCGAACUGGUGACGCAGAGGCUGCAGGCAGCUUCACAACCCAGCGCUCAACCGCUGCGCCACCAGGGGGAUGUUCUUCGCGUCAUUGGUAAAAACAGGCCAGUUCUUUAAUGCAGUGCCGGAUCCAAGCCUCAAGACCAAAAGAAGUGGCUAACCAUCGCACUGAGUGACUGGACCUAUUGGACAAGAUGAUGCUCUUGAAUAUUCUCUUAUGAACAUCUGUGCUACCAUCUACUGGAAAGGAAAACUGAAUAUCGAAGAAGUGAUUGAGAUAAGCAGAGGAACAUGAAUUGGGUGGACUGCUUCCUGAAUGAAAUGAAGUGAAGA